ACUGUCUGACCAUAUUUGUAAUGAUCUAUUUGUUCUUGCAAAAUGGUGUUUUCUUAGAGUUCCACCUUGUUAUGAAUUUAUGUCUUCCUGCAAGAUGUGAUUGUUUGCUUUUAGUUUUAUUUGCCUUUGUUUUAGACUGUGCCCUAUCAUGUAUGACAUAAGCUUCAAUGACAUGUCCAGAAAAAUGGUUCCAAUUUGUGGGGGGGAUCUAAUUUUGAGGUAUUUUCCUGAUCAGUUAAAUCUGCAACAAGGUAUAGACAUAUUAUAUAUAUCUCAAGCUGAAGCCACUACAAUAACUAUAAUUUUUUGUAGGAUUGAAGAUUCAAUGCACAUCGUUUUGAAUGCAAAAUAAUUAUACAACUCCUGGCUCCAUACGCCACAACAUAGGAAUACAAAAAAUUGAUACAUGAUACAAUGUAUGUUAACCAACUCUGGUUGCUGCAAUUGUAUCCUGUAAUUAUGCAACACCUAUGGCAUUCAUAAAUUUGUGCAACACCUGAAAUAGAUUACUUGAAUUGUUUAGAUCUAUUAAUGAGGAAAGGAGUACAUGUUAUCUGAAAUUUUAAUCAUAUCAGCUUUUCUUGUCAUAGUAGAAAAAAAAAAAAUUGAUUGGAAAACAAAGAUAUAUUAGGCAACACCAUAAAAAAAAGAAACGAAGAAGAAGAAGGCACUCUAUUAAAAAAAAAAAGGAAAAGGGAAAAAGGAGGCACACUUUAUGUACACAAAAAGUAUCCAAGAGGCACCACUGGAAGAAAAAGAAAAACAGCGACACCUAUAGCAACAGAAAGAGAAAAAAAAAAUCAACUAUUUGUUGUUUAUGUUAUCAGUAAAAUCCAACAAAGAAUACCUCUCCCUCUCCAACAAGGCUUUAGACCACUCCAAAAGGUACUUGUAAGGAUCUCCUUCAACUUUUCUCAGAAAGCUCUUUGAUUGGGAAAUUUUUUUGAUUAUGUUGCAAAAGCUCCAUUUGAUUGCCUAGAAGAGAUGUCAAAAGGAAUGAAAUUUGGAAUCUAGUGACAGGCUUGUUUAGUGUUCCUGGUAAUCAAGUAGAGGAUUUACAUGCUUUAAGCAGGACCACCUUGUAUUAUCAUUUAUGAAUAUCAAAAUGGAAGAAGCUAGAGUUCUUUCCACCCUGCUGCCUGCCCGCCACCCCCCGCAUUGGAUUUUCAAGUCAUACUUACCUGACCAGCUCUUGUGGUCCUAUCUUCCAAGCUGAUUUUGUGGUUCCAUGGUCACAUGAGCC
rnacentral:lncRNA from 1 species